rnacentral:rRNA from 1 species
CACUCCUACGGGAGGCAGCAGUGGGGAAUCUUGCGCAAUGGGCGAAAGCCUGACGCAGCCAUGCCGCGUGAAUGAUGAAGGUCUUAGGAUUGUAAAAUUCUUUCACCGGGGACGAUAAUGACGGUACCCGGAGAAGAAGCCCCGGCUAACUUCGUGCCAGCAGCCGCGGUAAUACGAAGGGGGCUAGCGUUGCUCGGAAUUACUGGGCGUAAAGGGAGCGUAGGCGGACAUUUAAGUCAGGGGUGAAAUCCCGGGGCUCAACCUCGGAAUUGCCUUUGAUACUGGGUGUCUUGAGUAUGAGAGAGGUGUGUGGAACUCCGAGUGUAGAGGUGAAAUUCGUAGAUAUUCGGAAGAACACCAGUGGCGAAGGCGACACACUGGCUCAUUACUGACGCUGAGGCUCGAAAGCGUGGGGAGCAAACAGGAUUAGAUACCCGGGUAGUCCCAUGA